GCCGCCCGCUUUCUUCGUGCUUAACACAUGCAAGUCGAACGGAAAGGCCCUGCUUUUGUGGGGUGCUCGAGUGGCGAACGGGUGAGUAACACGUGAGUAACCUGCCCUUGACUUUGGGAUAACUUCAGGAAACUGGGGCUAAUACCGGAUAGGAGCUCCUGCUGCAUGGUGGGGGUUGGAAAGUUUCGGCGGUUGGGGAUGGACUCGCGGCUUAUCAGCUUGUUGGUGGGGUAGUGGCUUACCAAGGCUUUGACGGGUAGCCGGCCUGAGAGGGUGACCGGCCACAUUGGGACUGAGAUACGGCCCAGACUCCUACGGGAGGCAGCAGUGGGGAAUAUUGCACAAUGGGCGGAAGCCUGAUGCAGCAACGCCGCGUGCGGGAUGACGGCCUUCGGGUUGUAAACCGCUUUCGCCUGUGACGAAGCGUGAGUGACGGUAAUGGGUAAAGAAGCACCGGCUAACUACGUG
rnacentral:rRNA from 1 species